rnacentral:rRNA from 1 species
UACGGAGGGUGCGAGCGUUGUCCGGAAUUAUUGGGCGUAAAGGGCGCGUAGGCGGCUUGGCAAGUGGAAGGUGAAAUCCCUCGGCUCAACUGAGGAACUGCCUUCCAGACUGCUUUGCUUGAGUCCGGGAGAGGUGAGUGGAAUUCCCAGUGUAGCGGUGAAAUGCGUAGAUAUCAGGAGGAACACCGAUGGCGAAGGCAGGUCUCUGGGCCGAUACUGACGCUGAGGAGCGAAAGCGUGGGGAGCGAACAGG